GUCACACUCACACCAGAUGGUGGCGGUAAUGCACCAAAAAGUUGUUUUCCAACCGCCAAUAAACCUUAGUAGAAGAAGAAGACGUCAAGACGAUCGAGGCACGGACUGUACACUGUUAUCCUCAAAAACUUCACCAAGAUCGGUGUUGGACCGGCGAACACUUUAGGCCUAUUAUCAGAGGACUUGCUAACAUGAAGAAAACGGUCCAGAGGUUCCACCUGAGAGCCGGGACUGUCGAAUAGUAAGAGACAACGAAAAGGGGGGAACUGUCUUUAAGCUGUGGAGUCAGAAAGAGGGCUCGCAUUGCAGAAGACUCGAACAACUAGAACCAACUCAAGCACACAAUGGUGACACAUUUGUAAGACCUUUCCCUGUGAAUAAAAUUUCCGGGUGGUAAUUAUUCAGAUUCUUCUCAUUCUCAUUGUGUAGCACUGUUUUAAGCUUGUUGAAUAUUAUGUACAGUAAGCACUAGAAGUAGAGACUUAUACUACUUGGGGUAGUUUUAAAUGAACUUUAAUUUAGCUUUUGAUGCAAAAAUUAUCAAAAGGAAAGAAAAUAUGUAGUGUAGUAAAAGAGGUUUUGUGUAGUAAUUCAAUUGUUUUAAUAUGAAUAUUGUUUUAAUAGUGUUCAGGACAGUAAUUGUCUAUACAUCUAAAUCAGUUCUUUAAACUUUUUGUUGUCCAAGACCUUCGUAUUAUACCUUAAGAAAAAAAAAAGGUAUUUAAUUAUGUAUUCUGCAAGAUGCUUGUAAACAUUGCUUUAAAGGUAUUUAUCAUUUCAACUUAAAUAGUCAUUAUCUACUUGUAUGAUUUGUAUUAUCCGGGAACUGUACAAAUACUGUGGCAUAUGGACAUUACUCUUUUUAUUUGUAACUUUUAAAUGCAAUAUUCUUUUUAAAUGCAUUUUCUGUAA